GUCUCGAUGGAGGAGCGAGAAACGCAAGAGGUCGGGGGGAGAAGCCGCAGAAAAAAUUGCAGCCAUCGUCAGCGCCGCCUCCCUGCCACCGUGUAUGGGGUAAAAGCUGCCGUUGCCGCUGCCGGUGCAGUCGCUGCCGCCGCCUCCUAUACUUCUUAGCACCGGGGAAGGAUUCCCCGCCGCGGGACAGUGUGCUGGGCGGGGAGCGGGAGUUCGUUUGUGUGGCGGUGAUUAAACGAGGGAGGGACAGAGCUGGUUUCUCGAACCGAAAAGGGGAGGCCAAGGAACAAAACAGGGUUCUCCACUAAAAUCACACAGCGAUUACGGAUCUGGCUUUGGGGGCCUUUCCCCGGAAUGGCGGUUUCCGUCUUCUUGGCCCGCAGCACGACCUUGGGUGCUCCGUAAGAGGAGUGGGGAGAGGCAGAGGCGGUGUCGGCAGCCAAUCGGCGUCUGGUGAUUUCUGUCGGGCGCGUAGGGAUUGGCUGACGAUGACCUCAUGCUGCAGCAGCGGGUGGGGCCAGAGUCGUCGGGGGUGGCUGUUGCAAAGGCAGAGAGUGAGAAGUGAUGACGGUGAUCGUUGUCGCCGCGUCUUCUGUGGAACCCAAGCAGUGCCGAAGGAAGUCGCAAGGCUCUUCCCCGACCUUUUGCUCCUCUCCCUGCGCGAGGCCCCUUGAUUGAAUUUAAACAGUCUCCUAGAUUGAUUCUGCCUCCCAACAAGAACAAACUGAGGAAGUGAUGAGCCACGUAGCCGGUGACCCUUAGAGUUUUAGAUGUGCGGUUCCCUUCAUGUAUACUUUACAGAAAACCAGCUAAGCCGGGCGUGGUGGCGCACGCCUUUAGUCCCAGCACUCUGGAGGCAGAGGCAGGCGGAUUUCUACAAAGUGAGGCCAGCCUGGUCUACAAAGUGAGUUCCAGGACAGCCCCAGGGCUAUACAGAGAAACCCUGUCUCAAAAAAAGAAAGAAAGAAAGAAAGAGAGAGAGAGAGAGAGAGAGAGAGAGAGAGAGAGAGAGAGAGAGAGAGAGAGAGAGAAAAGAAACCCAGCUAAAGUAGAGAAAGGUGUUUAGAAAACUUAAUGUUAACUUUUUUGUUUUAACUUUUAAUUCUUUAGGAAUGUUUCUUAAGUAGUGAUUUAUAUUAGCUACUGGGAUUAUAAUGCUAAGCUUUAGACAUUUUAUUUGGAAUAAAAUGUUAUAUGGAUUCUUUUGUCAUGCAUGUGAUUUUUGUGCUCAUUUUGCAAUAAAGUUAAGUAUUUUGGUUUUA
rnacentral:lncRNA from 1 species